rnacentral:rRNA from 1 species
AGUUUGAUCAGUCGGACUCAGGACGAACGCUGGCGGCGUGCUUAACACAUGCAAGUCGAGCGGAAAGGCCCUUUCGGGGGUACUCGAGCGGCGAACGGGUGAGUAACACGUGAGUAAUCUGCCCUUGGCUUUGGGAUAACUACCGGAAACGGUGGCUAAUACCGGAUAUGACCAUGCUCGGCAUCGGGUGUGGUGGAAAGUUUUUUCGGCCAGGGAUGUGCUCGCGGCCUAUCAGCUUGUUGGUGGGGUAAUGGCCUACCAAGGCUUCGACGGGUAGCCGGCCUGAGAGGGUGACCGGCCACACUGGGACUGAGACACGGCCCAGACUCCUACGGGAGGCAGCAGUGGGGAAUAUUGGACAAUGGGCGGAAGCCUGAUCCAGCAACGCCGCGUGAGGGAUGACGGCCUUCGGGUUGUAAACCUCUUUCAGUACCGACGAAGCGCCGAUGAUGGUGGUGACGGUAGGUACAGAAGAAGCACCGGCCAACUACGUG